CCGAUAGUUAAGAGGAAGCUCAUCAAUUGCUUAAGAACUAAACCUUCUUAAAAAACGAAACAUGUGAUGCCGUAGACGCCAAAAGGCUUUAUCAGGAACGGUAGAUCCGACCGAACAGAUAGAAAAACUUUUGAAAAAGUGGAUCGUCGUUUGAAAGGGACAGGAACGUUUGCCAAAGCCAAACACAAUUGUGGAAGCCAAAAGAGAAUCGCAAUGCGGUUGCUAAAGAAGAUAUUUUAAAUGCGGUAGAAGCAGAUGUUUCAAUACGUGUCAAGAAAUUAAUUGCCCUGUUUCGUUGUCCAAAAAUAUACAG